GCGCUCGUCGUCUAAUGGCUAUGAUGUCAGAUUCCUAGCUUGCUUAAGCAUCUGAAGGUUCCGGGUUCGAGUCCCGGCGGGCGUA